CGCUGGCGGCGCGCUUAACACAUGCAAGUCGAGCGAUGAAAUCUUGACAGAUCCCUUCGGGGGUGAAGAUAAGAUGGAUUAGCGGCGGACGGGUGAGUAACACGUGAGUAACCUGCCUUAGACAUUGGGAUAGCCUCGGGAAACCGGGAUUAAUACCAAAUGAAAUCAUAGGUGCCCAUGCACUAAUGAUCAAAACUCCGGUGGUCUAAGAUGGACUCGCGUCCCAUUAGCUAGUUGGUGAGGUAACGGCCCACCAAGGCGACGAUGGGUAGCCGGCCUGAGAGGGUGAACGGCCACAUUGGAACUGAGAAACGGUCCAAACUCCUACGGGAGGCAGCAGUGGGGAAUAUUGCACAAUGGAGGGAACUCUGAUGCAGCGACGCCGCGUGAACGAUGAAGGCUUUCGAGUCGUGAAGUUCUUUUAUAUGGGAAGAUAAUGACGGUACCAUAAGAAAAAGCCCCGGCUAACUACGUGCCAGCAGCCGCGGUAAUACGUAGGGGGCUAGCGUUGUCCGGAAUCACUGGGCGUAAAGGGUUCGCAGGCGGAAAUGCAAGUCAGAUGUAAAAGGCAGUAGCUUAACUACUGUAAGCAUUUGAAACUGCAUAUCUUGAGAAGAGUAGAGGUAAGUGGAAUUUUUAGUGUAGCGGUGAAAUGCGUAGAUAUUAAAAAGAAUACCGGUGGCGAAGGCGACUUACUGGGCUCAUUCUGACGCUGAGGAACGAAAGCGUGGGUAGCAAACAGGAUUAGAUACCCUGGUAGUCCACGCUGUAAACGAUGAGUGCUAGGUAUCGGAAUAAUUCGGUGCCGCAGUUAACACAUUAAGCACUCCGCCUGGGGAGUACGUGCGCAAGCAUG
rnacentral:rRNA from 1 species